UACAGAGGGGGGCAAGCGUUGUUCGGAAUUACUGGGCGUAAAGGGCGCGUAGGUGGCCUUCUAAGUCGAACGUGAAAUCCCUGGGCUCAACCCAGGAACUGCGUCCGAGACUGAAAGGCUCGAAUCCGGGAGAGGGAUGUGGAAUUCCAGGUGUAGCGGUGAAAUGCGUAGAUAUCUGGAGGAACAUCGGUGGCGAAGGCGGCAUCCUGGACCGGUAUUGACGCUGAGGCGCGAAAGCCAGGGGAGCAAACGGG
rnacentral:rRNA from 1 species